GAAACUCAGUUGGUUAGAAUGUGGUGCUGAUGAUGUCAAGGUUGCAGGUUUGAUCCCCGUAGGGAACA